rnacentral:rRNA from 1 species
UCCGUGGCUCGAAGGACGAACGCUGGCGGCGUGCUUAACACAUGCAAGUCGAACGGACCGAGUUGAUAGCUUGCUAUUGAUGAGGUUAGUGGCAAACGGGUGAGUAACGCGUAGGCAACCUGCCCUUCAGAUGGGGGCAUCCCUGAUAAGCCAAAGAUUUAUUGCUGAAAGAUGGACUCGCGUCUGAUUAGCUAGAUGGCGGGGUAACGGCCCACCAUGGCGACGAUCAGUAGCCGGACUGAGAGGUUGAACGGCCACAUUGGGACUGAGAUACGGCCCAGACUCCUACGGGAGGCAGCAGUGGGGAAUAUUGGGCAAUGGGCGAAAGCCUGACCCAGCAACGCCGCGUGAAGGAAGAAGGCCUUCGGGUUGUAAACUUCUUUACCAGGGACGAAGGACGUGACGGUACCUGGAGAAAAAGCCACGGCUAACUACGUG